GACGAACGCUGGCGGCGUGCUUAACACAUGCAAGUCGAACGGAAAGGCCCUGCUUUUGUGGUGUGCUCGAGUGGCGAACGGGUGAGUAGCACGUGUGUAACCUGCCCUUGACUUUGGGAUAACUUCAGGAAACUGGGGCUAAUACCGUAUAGGAGCUCCUGCUGCGUGGUGGGGGUUGGAAAGUUUCGGCGGUUGGGGUUGGACUCGCGGCUUAUCAGCUUGUUGGUGGGGUAGUGGCUUACCAAGCCUUUGACGGGUAGCCGGCCUGGGAGGGUGACCGGCCACAAUGGGACUGAGGGAGGGGCCAGAGUCGUACGGGAGGCAGCAGUGGGGAACAUUGCACAAUGGGAGGAAGCCUGAUGCAGCAACGCCGCGUGCGGGAUGACGGCCUUCGGGUUGUAAACCGCUUUCGCCUGUGACGAAGCGUGAGUGACGGUAAUGGGUAAAGAAGCACCGGCUAACUACGUG
rnacentral:rRNA from 1 species